CCUACGGGUGGCAGCAGUGGGGAAUAUUGCGCAAUGGGCGAAAGCCUGACGCAGCGACGCCGCGUGAGGGAUGAAGGUCUUCGGAUUGUAAACCUCUGUCAGCAGGGAAGAACGGUCACUGUGCUAAUCAGCAGUGAAUUGACGGUACCUGCAAAGGAAGCACCGGCUAACUCCGUGCCAGCAGCCGCGGGAAUACGGAGGGUGCGAGCGAUAAUCGGAAUUACUGGGCGUAAAGCGCUCGUAGGCGGUAUGUCAAGUCAAGGGUGAAAUUUCCGGGCUCAACAUGGGAACUGCCUUUGAAACUGGCAAACUUGAGUGUGUGAGAGGAUAGUGGAAUUCCAGGUGUAGGAGUGAAAUCCGUAGAGAUCAGGAGGAACAUCAGUGGCGAAGGCGACUAUCUGGCACAUAACUGACGCUGAGGAGCGAAAGCGUGGGUAGCAAACAGGAUUAGAUACCCGUGUAGUC
rnacentral:rRNA from 1 species